rnacentral:rRNA from 1 species
GUGUCAGCAGCCGCGGUAAUACGGGGGGAGCAAGCGUUGUUCGGAUUUACUGGGCGUAAAGGGCGCGUAGGCGGCCACCGCAAGUCGACUGUGAAAUCUCCGGGCUUAACUCGGAAAGGUCAGCCGAUACUGCGGGGCUAGAGUGCAGAAGGGGCAACUGGAAUUCUCGGUGUAGCGGUGAAAUGCGUAGAUAUCGAGAGGAACACCUGCGGCGAAGGCGGGUUGCUGGGCUGACACUGACGCUGAUUGUGCGAAAGCUAGGGGAGCGAACGGGAUUAGAUACCCCGGUAGUCC